UACGUAGGUGGCAAGCGUUGUCCGGAUUUACUGGGCGUAAAGGAUGCGUAGGCGGAUAUUUAAGUCAGAUGUGAAAUACCCGGGCUCAACUUGGGUGCUGCAUUUGAAACUGGAUAUCUAGAGUGCGGGAGAGGUAAGUGGAAUUCCUAGUGUAGCGGUGAAAUGCGUAGAGAUUAGGAAAAACACCAGUGGCGAAGGCGACUUACUGGACCGUAACUGACGCUGAGGCAUGAAAGCGUGGGGAGCAAACAGG
rnacentral:rRNA from 1 species